rnacentral:rRNA from 1 species
UACGAGUGCCCCAAGCGUUAUCCGGAAUCAUUGGGCGUAAAGGGUGUGUAGGUGGUCUUGUUAGUCUCUUGUCAAAAUUCUCGGCUCAACCGAGAAGUUGCGAGGGAAACGGCAAGACUAGAGGAUGCGAGAGGUGAAUGGAACUCAUGGAGUAGGGGUGAAAUCCGUUGAUAUCAUGGGGAACACAAAAGCGGAGGCAAUUCACUGGCGCAUUCCUGACACUGAAACACGAAAGCGUGGGUAGCGAACGGG